GACGAACGCUGGCGGCGUGCCUAAUACAUGCAAGUAGAACGCACAGGUUAUACCGUAGCUUGCUACACCAUAAACUGUGAGUUGCGAACGGGUGAGUGAGGCGUAGGUAUCCUGCCUGGUAGCGGGGGAUGACUAUUAUAAACGAUAGCUAAUACCGCAUAAUAUUAAUUAUUGCAGGAUAAUUGAUUCAAAGAUACAAUUGCAUCACUACCAGAUGGUCCUUCGUUGUAUUAGCUAGUAGGUGAGGUAACGGCUCACUGAGGCGAUGAUACAUAGCCGACCUGAGAGGGCGAUCGGCCACAGUGGGACUGAGACACGGCCCAGACUCCUACGGGAGGCAGCAGUAGGGAAUCUUCGGCAAUGGACGAAAGUCUGACCGAGCAACGCCGCGUGAGUGAAGAAGGUUUUCGGAUCGUAAAGCUCUGUUGUAAGAGAAGAACGGGUGUGAGAGUGGAAAGUUCACAAUGUGACGGUAACUUACCAGAAAGGGACGGCUAACUACGUG
rnacentral:rRNA from 1 species